rnacentral:sRNA from 1 species
CGGAGAGGGAAAGAACAACCCACAUGGCGGGUGUUUUCUUUGAAGGAAUUACACUCUGCUACGAAUAAUUUCAACUAUGACAACAAGCUUGGAGAAGGAAGCUUUGGCAGUGUGUACUGGGGCCAACUUUGGGAUGGAUCACAAAUUGCGGUGAAAAGAUUGAAAGUUUGGAGCAACAGAGCCGAGACAGAAUUCACAGUUGAGCUUGAAAUCUUAGCAAGAAUUCGACACAAGAAUCUUCUCAGUCUUCGUGGCUACUGUGCAGAAGGACAGGAACGGUUAAUUGUGUAUGAAUAUAUGCAAAAUCUGAGUCUCCACUCUCAUCUUCACGGACAUCAUUCAUUCGAAUGCUCUCUGGAUUGGAAUCGUCGGAUGAAUAUCGCAAUUGGUUCUGCUGAAGGAAUUGUGUACCUUCACCACCAAGCAAGACCACAUAUCAUCCACAGGGAUAUUAAAUCAAGCAAUGUGUUGCUAGAUUCUGAUUUCAAGGCCAGGGUUGCUGAUUUUGGGUUUGCUAAGUUGAUCCCUGAUUGGACUACACAUGUGAGUACAAGAGUUAAGGGAACUAUUGGCUACCUUGCACCAGAAUAUGCUAUGUUAGGUAAAGCAAAUGAGAGUUGUGAUGUGUACAGUUUUGGUGUUCUUCUUCUAGAACUCGCUAGUGGCAGAAGACCAACAGAAAAGCUCAGUUCCACGGUGAGGCGAUCGAUAGUUGAUUGGGCAUUGCCAUUGGUUUGUGAGAAGAAAUUUGGUGAAAUUGCUGAUCCAAGACUAAAUGGUAACUAUGUGGAGGAAGAGCUUAAAAGAGUUGUUUUAGUUGCUCUUAUGUCUGCUCAGGAUCUGCCUGAGAAGAGACCAACCAUGCUUGAUGUGGUAGAGCUACUCAAGGGAGAGUGUAG